AUACGGAGGGUGCAAGCGUUAAUCGGAAUUACUGGGCGUAAAGCGUACGUAGGCGGUUCGUUAAGUUAGAUGUGAAAGCCCCGGGCUUAACCUGGGAACUGCAUUUAAAACUGGCAGACUAGAGUUUGAUAGAGGAGAGUGGAAUUUCAGGUGUAGCGGUGAAAUGCGUAGAGAUCUGAAGGAACAUCAGUGGCGAAGGCGACUCUCUGGAUUAAAACUGACGCUGAGGUACGAAAGCGUGGGUAGCAAACAGAAUUAGAAACCCUAGUAGUCC
rnacentral:rRNA from 1 species